rnacentral:rRNA from 1 species
AGUGAACGCUGGCGGCGUGCUUAACACAUGCAAGUCGAACGAGAACGGAAUAUAGCUUGCUAUAUUUGUCAGCUAAGUGGCGCACGGGUGAGUCACGUAUAGAUAACCUGCCCUUAAGAACGGAAUCACAGUUGGAAACGACUGCUAAUGCCCUAUAUGCCUUUAAUACAUAAUUAUGCAAGGGAAACGCAUUAGUGCUUAAGGAUGGGUCUGUAUGGUAUCAGCUUGUUGGUGAGGUAAUGGCUCACCAAGGCUAUGACGCCUAACUGGUCUGAGAGGAUGAUCAAUCACACUGGAACUGAGACACGGUCCAGACUCCUACGGGAGGCAGCAGUGGGGAAUAUUGCACAAUGGACGAAAGUCUGAUGCAGCAACGCCGCGUGGAGGAUGACACAUUUCGGUGCGUAAACUCCUUUUAUAUAGGAAGAUAAUGACGGUACUAUAUGAAUAAGCACCGGCUAACUCCGUGCCAGCAGCCGCCGUAAAAC